rnacentral:rRNA from 1 species
CCGGUUGAUCCUGCCGGAGGCUACUGCCAUCAGAGUUCGAUUAAGCCAUGUUAGUCGAGGGUGCUUCUUCUUCGGAAGAAGUAACCCGGCGGACGGCUCAGUAACACGUGGAUAACUUGCCCUUGGGUCCGGGAUAACCCCUGAGAAAUUGGGGACAAUACCGGAUAGGGCAUCGAUAGCUGGAAUGCACGAUGUCCAAAAGCUGAGGCGCCCAAGGAUAGGUCUGCGGCUGAUUAGGUUGUUGUUGAUGUAAUGGAUCAACAAGCCUGCAAUCGGUACGGGUUGUGAGAGCAAGAGCCCGGAGAUGGGUUCUGAGAAAAGAACCCAGGUCCUACGGGACGCAUCAGGCGCGAAAACUUUACAAUGUGCGAAAGCACGAUAAGGGAACUCUGAGUGCCUCCUAUGGAGGCUGUUCAGGUGUCUAAAAAGCACUUGAAGUAAGGGCUGGGUAAGACCGGUGCCAGCCGCCGCGGUAACACCGGCAGCCCAAGUGGUAGCCACGAUUAUUGGGUCUAAAGCGUCCGUAGCCGGCCAGGUAAGUUCUUUGGGAAAUUUAACCGCUCAACGGUUAAGCUUUCAGGGAAUACUGCUUGGCUUGGGACCGGGAGAGGUCAGAGGUACUUCAAGGGUA